rnacentral:rRNA from 1 species
GACGAACGCUGGCGGCGUGCUUAACACAUGCAAGUCGAACGGAAAGGCCCUGCUUUUGUGGGGUGCUCGAGUGGCGAACGGGUGAGUAACACGUGAGUAACCUGCCCUUGACUUUGGGAUAACUUCAGGAAACUGGGGCUAAUACCGGAUAGGAGCUCCUGCUGCAUGGUGGGGGUUGGAAAGUUUCGGCGGUUGGGGAUGGACUCGCGGCUUAUCAGCUUGUUGGUGGGGUAGUGGCUUACCAAGGCUUUGACGGGUAGCCGGCCUGAGAGGGUGACCGGCCACAUUGGGACUGAGAUACGGCCCAGACUCCUACGGGAGGCAGCAGUGGGGAAUAUUGCACAAUGGGCCGAAGCCUGAUGCAGCAACGCCGCGUGCGGGAUGACGGCCUUCGGGUUGUAAACCGCUUUCGCCUGUGACGAGGCGUGAGUGACGGUAAUGGGUAAAGAAGCACCGGCUAACUACGUG